CAAAGGAUAUGUGUCUUCCUCCUCUACAUUGAGAUGGUGGCCUUGACUAGCACUACUGGGAGUAGAAUCUCUAAUUCUGGUUCCAAUAUCAGGCAGCUUGCUUGUCUGCAGAUAUAAGCUUCCUUCUCCAGUAUCAGUUUUAUCAACAAUAAAGACCAGCAUGCUGGUACCAGCAUGAACUGUUUCCAUCCAACUGACUUUUGCUGGAGUUUGUGGGAGCCCUUGGUAAGGCUCCUCUCUGGUUUCAAAUCUCCCUGGCUUAGGUGAAAUGCAGACUGUAUUCAAGCAACCUGAUUCCAUACCGGAUGGAGCUGGAAUUGAAGCUUAACUUUAAAGCUUUAAGGAAUCAGUUUGUCCUUGAGUGAGAAUAGAUGAGAGAAAAUGUGGAGCUCCUGACAUAGUAGCAGAGGAAAAAUGAUCACUACCACAGUGUGCUACUCUGAUGCUUCAAAAAGAUCAAGACAUAAUGCUAAAGCCUGAUCAAAAGGCCCCUAUUACUUGCCUGAUGCUAUUCUUGGAGCAACAAGUACUUAGUGCCAGGCAUCUUGGUGAGUAUAUUGAAAACACACAUUGGCAAUUCUAUGACAAUGACUUUUGUUGUUUAAAAUCUGAACUUUAAGUAGUUGCAGAUAGGGAUCAUUUACUGACUAGCAAUAGGGGCCCUCACACAGAGAGGUGACAUCUCAGUAUGGUACAGGAACAGCCUGGGAAUCAUUAAAAAUCAAAGAUAAGCAGAAUUCAGAUAAUGUGUUAUAGAAGAGAUGUUUACCUGAGCAGAACAGAGACUAUUAGACUACUCUCUUAGCUAUUCUUAGCCAACAAUGUUAUAAAGCUAUUCUUAAGUUAUGAAAGAAUUGGACAUUUACAUCAGGAACAUUAUAUAGCAUUUGUUUAUUGUUUAUACAUAAGCAUAGCUAAAUUAGUUCUUAUUUUAUAGUGUUGAUGUAAUCAUUACUUAAAAAUGCUAUUGGUGUUUGAUAUAUGGUGUGGCUCUGUGUCCCCACCCAAAUCUCAUCUCAAACUGUAAUCCCCAUAAUCCCCACGUGUUGAGGGCGGGAUCUGGUGGGGGGUGACUGGAUCAUGGAGGUGGUUUCCUUAUGCUGUUCCUGUGAUAGUGAGUACUCACAAGAUCUGAUAGUUUUAUAAGUGUUUGACAGUUCCUCCUACACACAUGCCCUCUUGUGCCUUGUGAAGAAGGUGCCUGCUUCCCAUUCGCCUUCUGCCAUGAUUGUAAGUUUCACCUGAGGCCUCCUAGCCAUGCUUCUUGUUAAGCCUGUGGAACUGUGAGUCAAUUAAAGCUCCUUUGUUUAUAAAUUACCCAGUCUUGGGUAGUAUCUUUAUAGCAGUGUGAAAACAGACUAAUACAGUGUUUUAAUGAAAUGUGAAGUUAAAGAACCCUCAUCCUGCCCCAACUCCUAUGGCACUGUGGAAUAUAGACAAGUUGUGGACCUCACCUGCCUGAUGCAGUCAUGACUCUGAUACCCAGAGGAGGCAAUGUUAGGUGAACAGCCCCAGUUACUGAGUACUCUUUUAACAAGUCUCAUUUCAAUUUGGCAGUGUGACACACUCUAGAAACCAUAUAAAUGUAGAAAAGUUUUCUUCCUGCACCUCGUUUCUCAUGUUCUCUCCUCCUAACCUCGUUAGGAAAGGAAAACAGAUAGUGGAGCUAUGUCUUGGAGGACAUAAACCAGGAUAAACUACAAUGUAGAGGAAAACUAAACUGAGAUUACUCUAGGCGUCUUUGCCCGUGAGCUGGAGAAGGGCUUGGGGAUUUGGCAAGCAGGCUGUUGGGGAAACGAGAAGAUGCCUCAGACACAGCUGAAUGGCCUAUGGGUGGGGAGGAUGAGGCAGCUAGGGGUUGCGGGUUCUCUUCUUUUUACCCCCAGCAUCAAAGUCUUUGCCUUUGUGAAAGGAGAAAAGUAAAAGUGGGAUUCAGGUGAAAGGGAUGGGAAUAGUGGAGUUAAGGCAAAGUCAGAGGGGAAGGAUGACAGUCAAGAAGGGAGGUAAAGGAAGACAAAAGAUAAAAGACAAUAGGGAAGUACUCAUUCAGCUGAGUAAGCUGGUGUAUAAGUCAGUAAGGGCCAUGCCGUGUGUGUGUGUGUGUGUGUGUGUGUGUGUGUGUGUGUGUGUGUGCUUCAGCCAAGGAACAGACUUUUGGUGUAAUAGUUUCGAUGUGAGCAGAGUACAUUCAUUUCAAUUCCUUUUUUACUUUUGCAGAAAACAUACAAAAGAGAGUUAAGGGAUUAAGAGUGCAGAAUCUGGUGUUGGACAGACAUGGUUUCAAAAUCUGGCUUUGCUACUGUUAGCCGUGUGACCUUAAUUGACUUAUCUAACCUCUCUAAACCUCCUUAUGUUAAAAGUGGAAAAUAGUAAUUUCCCUGUAAUAGGACCGUCCUGAGAAAGAAGCAAGAUAUAUGUGUAAAGCAAUUUGGCAGGUCUGGUACAUAGUAAAUGCUCAUAAUGGUAGCUUUUGUGGCAGCUCUAUCCUCUGACAGAUUGCACAUAUUGAGUGCUGAGUUUGUGCCAGCUCCUUACAUCUAUAUUUAUUUUUUGAUGCAAUGAAGGCUUUCAUUUGUUAUGCAUAUUGACACCAAGAUUUAUGCUUUGUCCAUGUAUUUUGUUUUCAUAUUUUUAUCCAUCCCCAGACUUGACAUGGGCACUAUGAACAUAUUCCAUAUGAACCAAUCACACAAGACCUGUAGUCCAGAUAGAAAUUAGCUACCUUUCUUGUUUUAAGAACAACUUGGUAAUGUUAUGUAAUCAUAAAUUUUUGAGUAGACGUGCUUUAUACUUAUGAGCACACAUAUAUGAGGUACAUAAUAUUUUAAAAUAAAUUUUCCAAAGAUAUGC